rnacentral:lncRNA from 1 species
CCUGUUCUUUGAUUUUUUUUUUGGUGAUUCUAACAUUUUAUUCAAAACAGAAAAAUCUUCCAGAGGUUCUUGUGUCUAUGACAAAUAGUUGGCUCCUCUAUUUUUAGUUAUGCAUAUAGCCUUUGCAAAUUUGCUCAAAUUAAUUGUAGAUUUAAUGCGGCUCAUGCACUGUCCGGAAGUUUUGCUUUAUGCAUGAAAUUAAUAGCCUACAAUAUAAUUCGGCUCAUUCACUACCCAAAGUGCUUU